ACGCACCAACACGGCGCCAGGAGAUCGUGUUGAUGCGAAAGCAAGCUGAACAAGCUGAGUGUAUGAUGCUCGGCAUCGGAAUGACUACGCGACGUUCAGCAACUGAUAGGUUCUCAAGAGUGGCUUCUAUCGCAGUUCCUCCCAUUCGCUGACGUUCAAAAGCAAUAGUUAAAGGGAGAUUUUUGGAAAGACUUUUACGGUCUGAAUUAACACGAAAACCGCCGUUCAAAAUGGGAGCGGAACAAAAGAAACUGCGACAAGCCAUUAAACCCCCUGAUGACUCUAUCUCUGCGAACGCUCAUCAUCCGACGAAUGGGACGAAGCAGCAACAGUACUAUGGUUUCUCGAUGCACCAGAGUUCGUGUCAGUCCGUGGCAAGAAUGUGCGACGUCCCUAUCGUUGGCGCAUGCAGACGGCACGAACGAAGCUCUAGAUAAAGGGCUUCGAGCGACGACUAGCGACUCUUGCUCGUCGGAGCAUCAUCAUUGCACCAGAGUUGCCGGGGCACAGCCGCGGGAAUCGCGCCUUUGUUCGGUCUGGUGCACGGUCUAGUGAAUAAAGCCAGAGUAUGGAAGCACCAAAUAUGCACGGGAAAUGAUCAGCAGUUCGAGCGAAUCGAAAUCGGAACACCGGCACAGGAUGUUGGAGAAAGAAGGUAAAAGAUCCAACAGGAGUUCCAGGAUUUGGAAAGGGGCUGUUAGUAUCGCCUUUUUUCUUCUGCCUAUUGGUGAUUGAUUGAAGUGAACACAAAAAAAGAGCGGUGAGAACAUGUACUGCGCUUCUGUGGUGUUCUGUGGCGCGACAUUCUUCGGCUGCUCGUUCUGAUCCAUCAGACUGGAAAGAACGAAACAGAGAAGGAAACGAACAGCCGCAUGUGAUAGGGAAAACACAUGCUCUGGCUCCGCUGAUAAGAAUUCGUUCCUGUGCGUGCCUAUGGGAUGUUGGUGCGAUGUGUGUCCGAGCAUGGACGGGUAUUUGUGUGAUGUGCAGUAAUUAAUUAACUAUUUAAUUGCUUUACCGGUUAUUGCUCAGAAGUGGCAGGUAAUAAAGCAGUGUAAGAAAUAAAAACUGUAAAGACACAUAAUCGCGUACCAAUCUGCCAUUAGUUAGGGUGUUAUGAGUAUCUAGUAAGCGAAAAUCCGUCAUGGUUGGUUGAAUAUUUUGGUGAAGAGAGAGUCAUUGUGGGUCUUUAGACAUCACCAUCAGAUGAUUGAUUCUUGGGCUUAUGCUUGCCAUAUCAUGGCUUACUAGAGUCCUUGUAGCUAAACAGUUCGGAUGGGAUUCAAUAUCCAGGACCUGCCAGGUGAGGAUCGGUACCAUCUCAGCCACAGGACCGCCCCAAGAAAUAGAGAUUAGAGUUCUUCUGCUGCCUUGGCACUACAACCUCGAGAGUGCCAUUUCUGGCUUUCUGGGACUUGAUUUUAUCCUAAGUAAUCAGCUCUGUGUACGUGGAGGCGGUCUGGAUGGGAUUUGAACCCCUGUCCUGCCGUAUGAAGACCGGCACCGUUAUCACCUAGGCCACCGGAGCGCUCCAGAGACUGAAGAGGCUAGAGACUAUAUUUUCGCAUAUUGAUGUGAGUAUGUCUAAGGCAUGAGUCUGUAGAGAGCUUGAUAAGCUGCCGAAAUUAGAGCCAUUUCAUGGUCGAAGUGUCCAAGGCCAAG